AGUCUGUCCUUCAGAUAAAAGGAUUCCUGCAGAGAGUCUGUCUUCUGUCAAAACCAGCAACCCGAGCAAUUUUUCACCUGACGGCGCAAGUUAUUUUGGCAGCUGAUCAAGUACCAGCCAAAUCCUAUACAGCUUCUAAGUCCCAUUAAUCCUUCUGGGAUGAAACAAAUAGGUGAUCCAGUUUAGAAAAUGGAGAUGUACAGCUUUCAAUCCCUAACUACUCAAGCUCUGUGUUACAACUGGAAAGCUUCUGAAACGUUAGAGGAUCCAAGUUAAAAUGGGAGUUUGUAUUAUGAAUCCUUAGAUACUGGAAGGAGAAUAAUUUGUCCAAAAAGACAUCUGAAGAGACCAUCGAGGUGCACUGUACAGACAGAAGAAGUUAUAUAAUGUUAUGUAACCUUUUACCCUCCCUUCUGCUAGAACAAGCACUCGGUAGUUCAGGAUGCAAUGAUAUUUGUUAAAGCUUCUCUUGUUGCUCGCCUGAGAUACAAAAGUCUUGAGACACUGGGAAGCAAGGGUCACUAGUAAACUGGGAUUAAUAUUAGAUUUCAACUGCAGAUGGCAGCAAAACCUCAAAUAUAUUUGCAAUCUCGCCCAGGUAACAUUCAAUCCAUACAGAAAUAUGAAAGAGUCUGCUUUAUCAUGUUAGAAAUAAAGAGUGCUAUUAAAAUAACUGGAAAUACAUUUGUUAAAUUAGAGGGUGACAUCGCUCACAAAAAAAUGCAGGAUAGAUGUUUCAGUAGCUAUUCUUGAGAUAUCUGUGCCAGUGGAUUAUGAGAGAUGACAGCUCUCCAAGUGAACGCGCCAAUCACUUGCACAGAGUCCCUGAAAAAAUGACAGUGAGUAGAGGCUGCAGAUAGCCCCUGUCCACUGUCAAACCCUCUAGCAUUCCCUGUAGUUCUGCAAUUAGCAGCAGGGAGAUGGAAGUCUGGUAACACAGGACACUUACAUGUCCUUGUCUCACAAUUUAAUUCAAAAUAGGGGACAUUCACUGAGGACGUUUACUUCUACAGUUAUCAGUCAGAAUGGA